rnacentral:ncRNA from 1 species
AGCAAGGUUAAAAGCCUAAGCGAAAGCAACUAGGUCAUUUUAAUAAGUGAAAUGGGUUAAGUUACUUCUAUUAGACCCGAAGCCAGGUGAUCUUUUCAAGAUCAGAUUAUAAUAGAUCAAACAGUUGAAUGUUGCAUAAUUCUCCGAAGAGUUUUGGAAAGCGGUGAAAUGCCAAUCUGACCUAGUGAUAGCUGG